rnacentral:rRNA from 1 species
GUAUCAUGGCUCAGGAUGAACGCUGGCGGCGUGCUUAACACAUGCAAGUCGAGCGAAGCACUUAAGUUUGAUUCUUCGGAUGAAGACUUUUGUGACUGAGCGGCGGACGGGUGAGUAACGCGUGGGUAACCUGCCUCAUACAGGGGGAUAACAGUUAGAAAUGGCUGCUAAUACCGCAUAAGACCACAGUACUGCAUGGUACAGUGGUAAAAACUCCGGUGGUAUGAGAUGGACCCGCG